GAAGUGGGUAGUCCGCACGAGCGCACCUCACUUUUAGUUGCCAUCAUUAAGUUGGGCACUCUGAAAGAACUGCCAGUGAUAAGCUGGAGGAAGGUGGGGAUGACGUCAAGUCCUCAUGGCCCUUACGUGUUGGGCUACACACGUGCUACAAUGGCAUCUACAACAGGAAGCAAAACGGCAACGUUAAGCAAAUCCCGAAAAGAUGCCUCAGUUCGGAUUGCACUCUGCAACUCGAGUGCAUGAAGCUGGAAUUACUAGUAAUCGUGGAUCAGCGUGCCACGGUGAAUGCGUUCCCGGGUCUUGUACACACCGCCCGUCACACCAUGGGAGUUGGUUCUACCUUAAGGCAAGGUUUUAAACCCUUGACCACGGUAUAGUCAGCGACUGGGGUGAAGUCGUAACAAGGUAGCCGUAGGGGAACCUGCGGCUGGAUUACCUCCUUUCU
rnacentral:rRNA from 1 species